UACGGGGGGGGCAAGCGUUGUUCGGAAUUACUGGGCGUAAAGGGCGCGUAGGCGGUCUACUAAGUUGGAUGUGAAAACUCUGGGCUUAACCCAGAGCCUGCAUUCAAAACUGAUAGGCUGGAGUUCUGGAGGGGAUAGCGGAAUUCCUGGUGUAGCGGUGAAAUGCGUAGAUAUCAGGAGGAACACCGGUGGCGAAGGCGGCUAUCUGGACAGAAAUCGUACGUGAGGCGCGAAAGCUAGGGGAGCAAACAGG
rnacentral:rRNA from 1 species